UAACGAAGGGUGCAAACGUUGCUCGGAAUUAUUGGGCGUAAAGCGCACGUAGGCGGCAUUGCAAGUCGGAUGUGAAAUCCCUCGGCUUAACCAAGGAAGUGCAUCCGAAACUGCAGUGCUUGAGUACUUAAGAGGAUCGCGGAAUUCCCGGUGUAGAGGUGAAAUUCGUAGAUAUUCGCAAGAACACCAGUGGCGAAGGCGGCUCACUGGCCCGAUACUGACGCUGAGGCACGGAAAGCGAUGGGGGAG
rnacentral:rRNA from 1 species